rnacentral:rRNA from 1 species
CGUGAAGGAUGAAGGCCCUAUGGGUUGUAAACUUCUUUUGUAUGGGAAUAAACGCUCCUACGUGUAGGAGCCUGAAGGUACCAUAAGAAUAAGCACCGGCUAACUCCGUGCCAGCAGCCGCGGUAAUACGGAGGGUGCAAGCGUUAUCCGGAUUUAUUGGGUUUAAAGGGUCCGUAGGCGGACUAUUAAGUCAGGGGUGAAAGCCCGCAGCUCAACUGCGGAACUGCCUUUGAUACUGGUAGUCUUGAGUACAAGUGAAGUUGGCGGAAUGUGUGGUGUAGCGGUGAAAUGCUUAGAUAUCACACAGAACACCGAUUGCGAAGGCAGCUGGCUAACUUGUAACUGACGCUGAGGGACGAAAGUGUGGGGAUCAAACAGGAUUAGAUACCCUGGUAGUCCACACUGUAAACGAUGAUUACUAGAUUUUGGCCGCAAGGUCAGAGUCCAAGCGAAAGUGUUUAGUAAUCCACCUGGGGAGUACGUCCGCAAGGAUGAAACUCAAAGGAAUUGACGG